GAAACAAUGUCCAAAUAUCCUUUCAUUUGCGUUGAUUCACAUGAAAUGACUUCAAGUGUGGAAUGUGUACAUUAUCCCUACAUUCACCACUUCCACAAUGUGAAGACACAGCAAGAAGACAGCCGUAUAUGAACCAGGACGCCAGACACCAAACCCGCAGGUGCCUUGAUCUUGCACUUCCCAGCCUGCAGAACUAUGAGAAAGAAAUGUUUGUUAAGUCAAAAAAAAAAGAAAGUGGGGACUUCGUUGCCAUCCUGGGACACAAAACCUGCGGUGCUGUCAAACCUGACUUCAAAGCAAUUCCUGGUCUGUCUUACGCUGGAAUAAAGUAUGAUCAAGCUAGAUCCCAAAGGAGGUCCAGGAAGCACAGCGAGGAGAACUUUUUGCUGAAUUAUAAAUAUAUUGAAGUGGAACAACGGACGCUUCUCUUGCAUCCCGCGGGGCCAGUUAGCACCUGAGCCGCCAGGCUGCAGCCUCGGCUGGAGGCCGAGAGCCCCCUCCCACGGACACAAAUUGAUGGCUCUUUGAUGCACAAGAAAAAGAGCAUACUUAAUAUUUCUCUUUCUUUCCUGUCAUUUCAGCUACCCAAACGUCACAAUAAAUGUCACACUUGGAAAUUCAUCUGGAAAGAACCCCAAAUGAUUACUGCACCAGUGCACAUAAGGGUGGUAAAUGCACAAAGCAGGACACUUGAGCCCAAACAGAAAAUGGAAAUGGCGCUGAAGCGACUACUGGGCAGGAGAAAAAAGCAGAGGCAGACUGAUCAGAAGAAGGGCCAGUGCAGAGAAGGGCCUGGACACCCCACCCAGGGAUGGGUCUUUCCUCUGUGGGGCAGAGGCCUUGGUUUGGGAUGAGUCGAUGUGUCAGAGGGAGGGCGAAGACCCACGUGCCGACGGCCGGAUGGUGGGCUUCGCGAGAGCCUGGGUUCCAGCUCCUCUGCCCCCACAGGCUGGCUGAGCGACCUUGAGAGAGUUUCUGAAAUUCUCCAAGCCCUGGCAUUCUACCUGGAGAGUGGGGGUGCUGACAUUAUCGACAUACUGUCUGUCGGUGUUGUUGUGAGGGGUCAGUAAGACAGCAGAGAAAGCACUGAAGAGUGAGGUCUCCAUAAACGUUAUGAUUACUAUGCCAUGACUUGCCCGCGGUGCUUUCCAGGUAGACUAUGGAUUGCAUCAGAACCACAGUUUUGUCUAGGACAGCGAUGUGUCUGCGUCUCCAGCUUCCACGGAUGCGGAGAAGGGUUGCUAUGAUUUAUGUGGAAAACAUUGGCUGGCCUUCAAGGAAAGCUGGCUCUGCCUUGGGGGGUGUGCUGUGGAAGGUAGACACGAUGGCUGAAGCUUCUGUAGCUCUUUUGGAACCAUAAGGGAAGGAGAGAAGUUACAAGAAUCUAGAAUCCCGGAGAUCUCAGCCCGGAAAGUCUCGAGGCUCUCAAGCAAUGCCGACCACCUUCUACCUCCAAACUCACUUUCUUGAGGGACACAGGCCUUUAGGUCCCCAUUCCUUUGAGUUUGUUGUUGUUAUCUGUUACCAGACCAAAUUGUAACUUCCGUAUAUCACAUGAUGCAAAAUCCCUGAAAAAUAACCACGGCUUCAUCAUUCAAGGUAACAUUAUGGGAAAGUCUCAGUGUGGGAGGUAAACUGAGCAACUUGUUUUUGAAACAAACGGAAAACUUAACAGACUGAGAACCAACGUCCGGGUGUUGCUGUGAGGAUGGAACGAGAAGCAAGUGCACGCGCAGACCUCCUGAUAUGGUCCCAGGUGGUGAGGACGGUUCAUGGCAGCUCACCUUGAGUCCUCUCACCAAGGGAGACAGGCUGGAGAAAACCCGGCCUUGUCCUCAGAGGAGACACCAGGGACAGUCAUUUUCAUAGCUCACCAGCUGGAUUAUUAUUAUUAUUUUCCUGACCCCGUUGAGUGACAAACUCUCUACUCAGGAGGGUUUUGGCCCAGAAGCGGUUGGGAAGGCCGGGCCGGGAGAGUCAAUGGGCCUGGGGAGGCUGGACGCACGCAGGAGCAGCUUCUACUAGGAGAGAGGGCUGGACGGCAGCUGGUACCCUCUGAUGCCAUGUUUCCGGGAUGUGAGAGACAUCCUAGUUUGUACCCGAUCUGAGUUCUGAACCAAUUGUGUCCUUGCUCGGUGUCCGGGCAGGAAGUCCCCUUAGACAGGUGUGGCUGUGCCCCGUCCUGCGAGCUCAGCUCGGCGUCUCCUGAUUCUCCACCCAGAUCUGCUGGUGAAACGACCCGGCUUCACAGUGAGGGACAGGAGUGAAUUCAGCGGCUCGGUGUGAAGGUUUUGAGUGGUGGGAACAUCUAAAAGGACCUUCACCUCAAACUGAGGGGAUCAGUGAGACCACGGGUGCCUGAAACUUUCGGACGAAUGCCACUGCCAGAAACCCUGAGAGAAGUCAGAGUUUGCGUGCCAAGGAGAACUUUUUUUUUUUUUUGAGGAAGAUUAACCCUGAGCUAACAUCUGCCACCAAUUCUCCUCUUUUUGCUGAGGAAGACUGGCCCUAACCUAACAUCUGUGCCCAUCUUCCUCUAGUUUAUAUGUGGGACGCCUACCACAGCAUGGCUUGCCAAGCGAUGUCAUGUCUGCACCUGGGAUCCAAAUCAGUGAACCCUGGGCCACUGAAGCGAAAUGUGCGAACUUAACCACUUCACCACUGGGCGGCCCCAAGGAGAAAUUUUUUAUCGCUUCAGUCUGUUGUAGCAUCACACUCUUUUAAGUUAAGCCAUAAAGGAGCAAUAAAAUGUCAGAGACCAUUCCCAGGCAACACACACUUAUCUCAUCUUAAGUUUAUUCUCACUGGUCUUAGGAGACAAGCUUCUCUGACAAUUGUUGGCAGUGUCCUGAGCAUCUUAUUGUGCAGCCACAGUGUCCAAGAUGAUGCCUCCCAGCCUUCUGUCCUGCUGAUCCACACUGUGACCUAGUUUAAGUGGGAGAGACAUUUGCAGGCAGCCAUUCAAG
ensembl:lncRNA